GCGGUUCCUGCACCUGCUCGGACAAAUGCAAGUGCAAGGGCUGCAAAUGCACGAACUGCAAGAAGAGCUGCUGCUCCUGCUGCCCUGCCGGAUGUGAGAAGUGUGCCAAGGACUGUGUGUGCAAAGGUGAAGAGGGGGCCAAGGCAGAGGCCGAGAAAUGCAGCUGCUGCCAGUGAGGACCCAGACCCUCCCACACAGCCUAUGUAAAUAGUGCUGGGUGUCCCUGGUGGGGCAUGGCUGUUGUCCCCACUCCCUGGCUGCCUGCACCAGGGUGUGAAUAAAUCCCAUGCACAGCAUG